rnacentral:snRNA from 1 species
AUCGCUUCUUGGCCUUUUAGCUAAGAUUAAGUGUAGUAUCUGUUCUUAUCAGUUUAAUAUAUAUAUAUUUAUUUUCCCUUU